rnacentral:rRNA from 1 species
UUGAUUACCCUGAACGGUGGAUCACUAGGCUCGUGGGUCGAUGAAGACCC